CCUACGGGUGGCUGCAGUGGGGAAUAUUGCACAAUGGGGGAAACCCUGAUGCAGCGACGCCGCGUGAGGGAAGAAGGAUUUCGGUACGUAAAGCUCUAUCAGCAGGGCAGAAAAUGACGGUACCUGACUAAGAAGCCCCGGCUAACUACGUGCCAGCAGCCGCCGUCAUACGUAGGGGGCAAGCGUUAUCCGGAAUUACUGGGUGUAAAGGGAGCGUAGGCGGCAGCGCAAGGCUGGAGUGAAAUCCCAGGGCUUAACCAUGGAACUGCUUUGGAAACUGUGCAGCUAGAGUGCAGUAGAGGUAAGCGGAAUUCCUAGUGUAGCGGUGAAAUGCGUAGAUAUUAGGAGGAACACCAGUGGCGAAGGCGGUUUACUGGACUGUAACUGACGUUGAGGCUCGAAAGCGUGGGGAGCAAACAGGAUUAGAUACCCGGGUAGUC
rnacentral:rRNA from 1 species